rnacentral:rRNA from 1 species
CAGUGGCCCAGAUCGUUUACCGUGAAAAAAUUAGAGUGUUCAAAGCAGGCAGAUCCAAUUUUCUGCCMCCGAAYACAUUAGCAUGGGAUAAUGGAAUAGGACCCUGUCCUCCUAUUUUCAGUUGGUUUUGGCAGCGCGAGGACUAGGGUAAUGAUUAAUAGGGAUASUUGGGGGCAUUAAUAUUUAAUUGUCAGAGGUGAAAUUCUUGGAUUUAUGAAAGAUUAACUUCUGYGAAAGCAUCUGCCAAGGAUGUUUUCAUUAAUCAAGAACGAAAGUUAGGGGAUCGAAGACGAUCAGAUACYGUYGUAGUCUUAACCAUAAACGAUGCCGACCAGCGAUUAGGAGACGUUGAAUACAACCACCACCAUCGGCGCGGUCGCCCUUGGCGUYGCGUUCACGCGCGGCGCGAGGACGGUASCCCCCGGGAMCCCCCYC